rnacentral:rRNA from 1 species
GACGAACGCUGGCGGCGUGCCUAAUGCAUGCAAGUCGAGCGGGCUACAGUCUUCGGAUUGUAGCUUAGCGGCGAACGGGUGAGUAACACGUAGGUAAUCUACCCUUCAGAGGAGGACAACCUCAGGAAACUGAGGCUAAACCUCCAUACGUUCAUAUGCAGGGAUGCAGAUGAACCGAAAGAGUUACCCGUGAGGGUAGCUGCUGAAGGAUGAGCCUGCGGCCCAUCAGGUAGUUGGUGAGGUAACGGCUCACCAAGGCGACGAUGGGUAGCCGGCCUGAGAGGGUGGACGGCCACACUGGAACUGAGACACGGUCCAGACUCCUACGGGAGGCAGCAGUGGGGAAUAUUGCACAAUGGGCGGAAGCCUGAUGCAGCGACGCCGCGUGAGUGACGAAGGCCUUCGGGUCGUAAAGCUCUUUCGGCCGGGAAGAAAUCGUAUGGGUUAAUACCCUGUGCGGAUGACGGUACCGGCAUAAGAAGCACCGGCUAACG